rnacentral:rRNA from 1 species
GUGAGGAAUAUUGGUCAAUGGGCGGGAGCCUGAACCAGCCAAGUCGCGUGAAGGAAGAAGGAUCUAUGGUUCGUAGACUUCUUUUGCAGGGGAAUAAAGUGCAGGAUGUGUACUGUUUUGUAUGUACCCUGAGAAUAAGGAUCGGCUAACUCCGUGCCAGCAGCCGCGGUAAUACGGAGGAUCCGAGCGUUAUCCGGAUUUAUUGGGUUUAAAGGGUGCGUAGGUGGUUUGAUAAGUCAGCGGUGAAAGUUUGCAGCUUAACUGUAAAAAUGCCGUUGAAACUGUCGGACUUGAGUGUAAAUGAGGUAGGCGGAAUGCGUGGUGUAGCGGUGAAAUGCAUAGAUAUCACGCAGAACUCCGAUUGCGAAGGCAGCUUACUAAGCUACAACUGACACUGAAGCACGAAAGCGUGGGGAUCAAACAGGAUUAGAAACCCCUGUAGUCC